rnacentral:lncRNA from 1 species
AUUUUUUAAUGUUCUAGGUGAACUUAGAUAUAAAAACCUGAGUUUGAAGUAUGUCCCAAUGACUGAUUCAUUAUGUGAUUUUAUGCAAAGUUUAAUCUUCUGAGUCUCUGUUUUCUCUCCAGACAAUAGGGAUAAUGCAACCUACAUUAUGAGACAAUGGUAAUAAUUAAAUGAGAAAAUGUAUGUUAAAUGAUCAGAAGAUGGCCUGAUAAAGAAGAAACCUCACAGAUGCAUUAUUUUCUUUUCAUUUUUAUAUGGAAUAGGCUAUUGGUCAUCUGAACUGGUGAAAGAGAACAAAUGUUCCUAGUAAAUUCCACAGGGACAACUUUUGACUUUGAAAUAUGUCUCCUUUGAAUUUUGAAUAUAGUUAUUUCUGAUCUUCAGGGAAUUUAAACAACAUAAUGAAAUUAUAGAGCUAAUACCUAAUUCUAGACUCUUCUAAUUUUUUCUUGGGUUCAACUACAAGCUAAAAAAAGAGAACUCAUUUUAAAACUUCCCUAAGGCAGAAAUGAUGGUAAGUGUUUGAACUUCAAAGGGUUUGCCUAGUCAGAUGAGGACUGUAUGCUUAGUAAAAGUAAACAGAUAGGAAAGAGACCAAUAAGAACAGUAAUUAAAUAAAGUAUGUAGCUCAAAUAUCUAAUUAUGCUAUUUGCCUUAAAAAAUCUACGUGGGAUUUCUGUUUAGUUGUCUAUUAAUAUGAUUUUAGAGACAUGAGAAAGACUCCUGUAACAAUCUAUCCAGCUUGCCACCCAUAAAAUCUGAAACAUAUACCUGUAUUAUAACACGUCUCACUGUGUCCAAUGAUGUUUUUAAUAAUUUGUAGCCUGUUAAACAGGGCUUUAUAAAGACAGAGGACAGGUCUUGUACUUCUUUGCACUGAUCCUGAUGAUCAUUAGGAUACUCUAUAAAAGUUUCAUGUCAGAAAUUCUGUAUUCCUAUGUUUAGAGCUUUUGUGUCAUUGUGCAUGAGAUUAUAAUUAUUGUUGUCUAAAACUUUAUAUAAUGAUAGGAUCUUGGACAAGGAUGUGUCAGGUUGGGGCCUGGGGGAGGACAAGAACAUAAGAGACUAGAUACUUAAACAAUAAUGAAGCAAAUAAGAUGAUUUAGCUCAAUUCUUUAAAAAGCAGAGCCUGAGGUAAGGAUUAAGAUGCUAUGAUUUUAUUUAGAAGAUUCAAGCCCACUGAAGUAUAAAUGAAAAACAGAAGCAAAGCGAGGACGCCGCAGAGAAAUUUAAUGCCUUAUGUCACAACACUGGUCACCAUUGCAUGAUGAGUCACUAAGAGAUACUGCCAGAUGCAUAGUGAAUGUGUUCACACAACACAUAGAACUUCUUUGGAAGUGUGGUAAGAAUGAGUCAUUCCUAGAAGAGGGAAAGGAGGAGAAAUGUGUCUUCCCAGCUUUCUCCCAUCUCAAGUUACCUAUUGGUCAAAUCUUAUGCAGAGUGUUUUACCCCUACACUGAUGGCUUGUAUAAUCUGGCUUGUCAGUACCAUUCAGAGAGAUCCCUUGUAUUAUGGCCUUUUCAUCCAAGUCCAAAGGUAAACCAGUGACCUAAUAUGAAUGAGGACUUGACCAGAAAAGAGAGAGAAGAAAAGGUGGUCAAGAGAAUCUGAGAAAGCAUACAAAGUUUGUUUCCUAAAACAUAAGAGAUGUGGACAUUAAGGAAGUUGGGAGCAUUGAAAACUACAGUUAUAGGGUGAUAAAAGUGAUACUCUUCUGCUGUAUUGGUCAGGUCAGGGGUUGCUAUAUGCAAAACAAAUGCACCCCAAAUUACGGUGGUUUACAUCACUGAGAACUCUAUUUCUUGCUUAUGUCUCUGUUAAGUAUGGGUUGAGGGAACUCGCAUUCCUUUGACUUAGUGACUCUGCCAUUUCUAGGAUUCCUAGGAUCCAAAAUGCCUCCAAUGCAUCCUCUGCAUCUGGCUACCAGGCCAGAGAAAAUAAUGAGAGCAUGGGGGGUUGCCUGGGGAUUUUUUUAUGUGCCUUAUUGUGAAACAUCCCACAGCCCCACCUAACAGCAGGGGAGACUGAGGAAUGUAGUCUACUGGUACGUCCAGAAGGAAAAAAGGAGGGCUUGUGAACAGUUAGUAGUUUGUGUCAGAUAUCCUAACCAUGUUAAGUUUUUGCUGUAGGAGAAUGUUUCAUAGUAGUGGUAUAUUUUGACCUUUAAUCUACUUAAGUAAUGCAGUAAAGACUCAUUUUAAUCAGAUGCCACUCUUUUGCCCUCUGCAUCAAAUUUUUCAGAUUUUAAAAAUGUUUUCCCAUAACAUCACCAUCUUGCUUUUCCUUUUUCUGGAAAAAUGUAACUAACUUGAUAAUCAAUUCUACUCUAGCUUCCAAGACAAAACUUAACCUUAGAGUAUUUAUAUGACAAUCUGUGGAGGUACUUACAGAAUCAGCCCUCCAGACUUACAGAAGCUGGGCUUCCCAAAUGAAACUACUACUUUCCAAUGCCUGGACUCAUAAUCCUUGCAAGAAUCCUGGUACAACAACUGCCUAUAAACACUUGCCAAGUCUGAGAUCAAGCUACUAAUUGAAGUAGUCACAAUAGGAGGUGUCUUCACUAUAAAAAUGUAUGAAAAUUUUGAGUAUAUUUACUGUGAGAAUGCUUUGCAAAGACUUCACAGAAAAGUAUUUCACAUUGUAAUAGUCCUGGAGCAUGAGUCAUCAGGCAGUAAUCAAGUUGUCUUUUUGAAUCAGAAUGAAGACCAUCAAUGUCAAGUUAGUGUUUUUAUGUCAUGAAUGGAAUGAGGGAGAGAUACCAUAGCUAUCUUUUCAGAGAGAAUCGGAUAUACUUUCCUGAUACACUUGGGACACCGUAAUCCUUGGCACAGGUUACAUCCAUGUUCUCAAAAAGGAGUUUGCAUUAUUUUUGCAGAAUGCGCUCAUGGGUCUCGUAUUAAAGUCUGUUCUGCUGUGGAGAUACAUCCAGAAGUUCAGCAUAAAUACACUGAUUUUCAAAAACCUAGGAAUUAUCCUGCUUAUACCUUUUAUUACCUGGAAAAAUUACUUCAAGUAAUUGGAUCUUGGUUUCCUCAUUUGUAAAAUGAAAAUAUUGUUAUUUACACCAUAUGGAUAUUAAAAAGAUUGAUAAGAUAACAUAUAUGAGAAUGAUCAGCAGAGUGUCUGGCAUGGAUACUUUGCCUUAAAAGUAUUGAAAUGAUAUUUGAAGUUUGAUAUUGUUGAUGCUGAUCGACUGCCUGUUUCACUGCAUUUGGUCUCUCUGGUCUUCUCUGGGAUUGCCAUCAAGAAUUUUAAAAUUUAUCCUUGGUCUGAACAGAGAGAAAGAAAUUCAUAUGACAUAUUUUUGCUUUUGGUCUGAACUUACAGAUUAACACUUUCCUUCUAGACACAUAUCCAUGUUUUUGAAGAGGUUCUCAUCUCUAAAUGAAUUCUUUCCUAAUUGUGUUUGUGUGUUAUACCCUGAUCUCCUGAUCCUGUUCUUCACUGUGGCUGCUAAAUUCUAAAAUUUCUGGUAUGGGAGUCCUUCCUUAUCAGCACAGGAUAUGUUCCAAAACUCUCAGUGGAUGCCUGAAACUGUGACUAGUACCCAACCCUAUAUAUACUAUAAUUUUUCCUAUAUAUAUGUACCUAUGAUAAAGUUUAAUUUAUAAAUUAGGCACAGUAAGAGAUUAACACAGUAACUCAUAAUAAAAUAAAGCAAUUAUAACAAUAUAUUGCAAUAAAAAUUAUGUGAAUGUGGUCUCUCUCUUUUAAAAUACUUUAGUAUUUUUGGACUGAGGUUGACUGUGGGUAACUGAAACCACAGAAAGCAAAAUCAUGGGUAAGUGGGGAAUGCUGUAUAACUCAUUCUGCAAACUCUCUAAACCCUUGCUUGCAUCUCACUAAGAAAUUUUAAAACAACUUUCCUUGCAAAAGUGAGAGCACAGCUAAUAAUGAAGGCAAAAUAAAAUAAAAGGUACACAGCCCAGUCCUAAGCUAUAGAUAAGCAAGGCAUCUAAUUAUUAAUCUGAUGUGAAAUGAUACUGGCCCCUAAAGAUCCUGUUAUGGGUAUUUUAUGGAUCAUGUUGAAACUAGUGUUCUUGCUGCUUAUUUUUCCUCCUGAUGAGGAGAGAAGCAAAAAUAAUCACAUGCUACGGCUUUGUGAAGAACUUGAAGGGAAAGUAAAAAAUGAGUUCUUCUCAUUUUUUUCCUUCUAGAUUCUAAUUCUUUUCACAUUUAACUGGGGAAUCAGUGAAAUUCAGCCCUUUUGACUCUUCAUAAAUGUGGGAUAAGUGGUGAAAACAGAACAUCAUGAUGAGAGACUCCAGACCUAGAUUAUUUAAUUAGUGUUUUGUCUUUGGCAAAGCCUUAAAUCUCUAUGUUUCCGAGUUUUCUCACUUAUUAAAUGGAGUAAGUAAUAGCUUCCUUACAUCACUGGGAUAUUUUGAGAAUAGAUAAAAUGAUGAAUGUCAAAAUUCUUUUGUAAAAAGCAAAAUGUUAUUUUUAGACAA